rnacentral:rRNA from 1 species
GAUGAACGCUGGCGGCGUGCUUAACACAUGCAAGUCGAACGGUGAAGGAGAGCUUGCUCUCCGGAUCAGUGGCGAACGGGUGAGUAACACGUGAGCAAUCUGCCCCUGACUCUGGGAUAAGCGCUGGAAACGGCGUCUAAUACCGGAUACGAGCUGCGAAGGCAUCUUCAGCAGCUGGAAAGAACUUCGGUCAGGGAUGAGCUCGCGGCCUAUCAGCUAGUUGGUGAGGUAAUGGCUCACCAAGGCGUCGACGAGUAGCCGGCCUGAGAGGGUGACCGGCCACACUGGGCCUGAGACACUGCCCAGACUCCUACGGGAGGCAGCAGUGGGGAAUAUUGCACAAUGGGCGCAAGCCUGAUGCAGCAACGCCGCGUGAGGGACGACGGCCUUCGGGUUGUAAACCUCUUUUAGCAGGGAAGAAGCGAAAGUGACGGUACCUGCAGAAAAAGCACCGGCUAACUACGUGCCAGCCGCCACAGUAA